GACAGUUGCCUGAGACGCGAAUUGAACCCUGGCACUGUGAAGCAUGAACGCUCAUCACUGUGCCACUAUGCCGCCCCUGUUCCUUCUCAUUUCACGAAUUUGCUCAGAGGAAAGCAGAGUGGCUUGCAAAUAGAAGUUCAGGAGAAAUGCUUUAUUUUCAUUUCCUGUAUAGGUAUUGGUUCUUCGAAUGAUUGGGAAUAUCCUGGUACUCAUCAGGCAACGUCUCUCUGGAUGAUUACUUUUAUUCGGGUCUGUUAGCAAUGUCAGAUAUUUGGAAAAUAAGUUUACAUAUAAUUGACGUUCGUGAUUCUUUUUUCUUGGAUUUUCUUUGUAGAUGUGCAAAAGAUUGAAUGCUUGAAACAGUGUAAUACAUAACAAAGCUUUAAACAAACUACCAAUUUUCCAAGGAUAUAACAGUUGCAGUAUUGUUUCAAAUUGUUAUGAAAUUUACAAUUAGUUUCAUGCAGUAAAGAACAAUCCAGUACCACAAGAAGCAACAUUCCUGUCAGUGUCCGGUAAGUGGGUGGCACAGUGGUUCAACGGUUUCGUUUCCUCCCUCAAUCCAAAUAUGUGCUGGUAAAGUCAAUUGUCCAUGCAAAUGUGUCCAUAGUAUUCCGGAGAAUUUAUGUUACGUGCAAUGUGACAGAUCAGACACCGAGCUUGUUCUAUCAGUUCGUAUGAUCACGGCUGCUUUACAAACAACACACCCAUUUUGCUUCAAUACCAAUGGAGGCAGGAGCAAAACUGCCGGGUUUCUUUUCAGAACAAUUGAAAGCGCCCUCGUUUCAAAUUGAGCAAACUCGUAUUGGAGUUGAGGUAUCAGCGUUUUAAUCAUGGUGCAAUGCUCGUCUUUGUCGCUGGCUGAAUCCAUUGCUUCACUGGCAAACGCAUUUUUCCAGAUUUUUAUCUACAGCCUGCUCAGUUCUCUGAAACGGAAUAAAGAAAUACAACUAAAACUGCCUGCAAUCAGAACGUUCAGUCCCUUCUGAAAUGUUCAAAAACGUCUCAAAGUUCGCAGAUAAAAAAAAAACUGAUUUUAACUCGGAAUUGUUUCUCUGAAUCAUGGUGAUACCUCUCAAUCCAGUCGUGCUGAGGAAGGAAAUAAUGUGUAAAAAUAAUGUUAAUAAAUAACAAACGAGGAGAUCAUUCAACCCACCAUAUCUGAUGUUUAGAGCCGUGACUUUGUGUUUUCCUGAUUCCCAUUAUUAUUUUACAGACGAAAUUCCCAAUCAGCAAUACAAAUGUCAGAAACAUUCUCCCUAUUUUACAAUAAAAAGUGAAGACAAAUCAAUUUUCCAUUUUAUUUACAAUGUUAAAUCAUGGUUGUAUCUGACAGAUUGAUUACAUUUGUUCAGAUAGCAAAGUUGGACCGAGUUUCAAAAUUCACAGCAAAAAGCUGGCAGAGAUAUUAUCGUUUGAAAGGCAUUCUACUUAACAUUUUCAAUUUAAUAUUAUGCUUUAGAUCAGUGUUUACAGCUUUGUAAUGAUACCAGCCAAAAUAUAUUGAGUUAACUUAAAACCCAAAAAUGCUUCACAGUUUCACAUUCCAGGCAUAUUCAGUGGACAAUUUGUAAUCGAGAUUAUCUGUAGAGUAAUGAUUAUUGCGUUAGCUCGAACCGCUUGUUCUCGAAGUACAAAGGGCAGAAAUACUUUCAAAGC